rnacentral:rRNA from 1 species
CCUACGGGAGGCAGCAGUGGGGAAUAUUGGACAAUGGGCGAAAGCCUGAUCCAGCAAUGCCGCGUGAGUGAUGAAGGCCUUCGGGUCGUAAAGCUCUUUUACCAGGGAUGAUAAUGACAGUACCUGGAGAAUAAGCUCCGGCUAACUCCGUGCCAGCAGCCGCGGUAAUACGGAGGGAGCUAGCGUUGUUCGGAAUUACUGGGCGUAAAGAGUACGUAGGCGGUUAUUCAAGUCAGAGGUGAAAGCCCGGGGCUCAACCCCGGAACUGCCUUUGAAACUAGAUAACUAGAGUCUUGGAGAGGUUAGUGGAAUUCCGAGUGUAGAGGUGAAAUUCGUAGAUAUUCGGAAGAACACCAGUGGCGAAGGCGACUAACUGGACAAGUACUGACGCUGAGGUACGAAAGCGUGGGGAGCAAACAGGAUUAGAUACCCUGGUAGUCCACGCCGUAAACGAUGAUAACUAGUUGUUCGGUCACUUGGUGACUGAGUGACGCAGCUAACGCAUUAAGUUAUCCGCCUGGGGAGUACGGUCGCAAGNUUAAAACUCAAAGGAAUUGACGGCUGAAGCGNGCGAGCGACGACGAGGAGAG